rnacentral:rRNA from 1 species
UGGUGCUUGCACCUUUAAAAUUUUAGCGGCGGACGGGUGAGUAACACGUGGGUAACCUACCUUAUAGAUUGGGAUAACUCCGGGAAACCGGGGCUAAUACCGAAUAAUACUUUUAAACACAUGUUUGAAAGUUGAAAGACGGUUUCGGCUGUCACUAUAAGAUGGACCCGCGGCGCAUUAGCUAGUUGGUGAGGUAACGGCUCACCAAGGCAACGAUGCGUAGCCGACCUGAGAGGGUGAUCGGCCACACUGGGACUGAGACACGGUCAAGACUCCUACGGGAGGCAGCAGUAGGGAAUCUUCCACAAUGGACGAAAGUCUGAUGGAGCAACGCCGCGUGAGUGAAGAAGGAUUUCGGUUCGUAAAACUCUGUUGCAAGGGAAGAACAAGUAGCGUAGUAACUGGCGCUACCUUGACGGUACCUUGUUAGAAAGCCACGGCUAACUACGUGCCAGCAGCCGCGGUAAUACGUAGGUGGCAAGCGUUGUCCGGAAUUAUUG